rnacentral:lncRNA from 1 species
GUUAGUCACAUCAGAUGACACAUGGCAGCAGCUAAAACGGGAAAAGCGCUCCCUGAGUCAUCCCUGGAGCCGGGCGGCAAAGGCUCCUCCUGGGACCAUGUGUGGACCCUCCAAUGAGGGGGGCCUGGGUCACCUUCACUGAGUGGACAGGACACUCAGUGAAGUUCCAAAGGACACUCAGUGAAGUUCCAAAGGACACUCCGCGUCUUUUUCCUCCAGCUCCUGAAGGAAGCACAGUGAAGACUCCAGCAUGGAAAAGCGUGUCCCACACGGCCUCGGCGCCUCCAUGGAUGAUAGGCAUGGGGCACCCCCUUUCCUCUGGAAGGUUCUGGUGGGGGGCAGCACACCGUCCACGGGAGCAACGGCCUCUGCAUCUGCCCACUGCAGAUUCACUUCGUAUUUUUAGUUCCCAAACCUUGACAUCCAAGCUCCCGCUCUGUGGCUUCCGCGGCAGCCUGGCAAGCUUCCUGUGAAGUCGCCCGCUGCUGAGCUUCCGCACCCUUCCUCCCGCAGAGCCAGCCAGUCAUGGAAGAGCGGGAUCAUCCCGGAAGGGAGCCUGCAGCGAUGAUCCAGCUCCUUCAAAGGGUCUGUGGAUUAUCUCAGCUUCCCUGAAUUAUUCAACUCAGACUGCCAUGCAGAAGAAAAACCAUGAACCCGGCCUGUGGAGGGAGUCACGAAGGUCAGCCCCUCCGGGCUUCCUGUUCACCGAGGGUCUCUACUUAGACUUUUGGCCGGCUCAUCAAAUGGGGAUAUGCCCUCACUGUGCUGACUGAAAGGCAGUGCUUGCCACAUGGAACAUUGUGUCUUGGGACGUGGUCAUCUGCCUGAAAUACACAAUGCAUACUUACUUAUUCUAAAUCUUUUAAUUACUGUCAGUUGCACAAUUUUAUUUGCUGGCACUAUUCGUGUUAGAAGUUUUUUUUUAUUCGAUUUACCUGUUUGGCAUUCUGUCAUUAAAGAAAAGUACCAAGAACCUCAAAACAAAUCCAA